rnacentral:rRNA from 1 species
GACGAACGCUGGCGGCGUGCUUAACACAUGCAAGUCGAACGGAAAGGCCCUGCUUUUGUGGGGUGCUCGAGUGGUGAACGGGUGAGUAACACGUGAGUAACCUGCCCUUGACUUUGGGGUAACUUCAGGAAACUGGGGCUAAUACCGGAUAGGAGCUCCUGCUGCAUGGUGGGGGUUGGAAAGUUUCGGCGGUUGGGGAUGGACUCGCGGCUUAUCAGCUUGUUGGUGGGGUAGUGGCUUACCAAGGCUUUGACGGGUAGCCGGCCUGAGAGGGUGACCGGCCACAUUGGGACUGAGAUACGGCCCAGACUCCUACGGGAGGCAGCAGUGGGGAAUAUUGCACAAUGGGCGGAAGCCUGAUGCAGCAACGCCGCGUGCGGGAUGACGGCCUUCGGGUUGUAAACCGCUUUCGCCUGUGACGAAGCGUGAGUGACGGUAAUGGGUAAAGAAGCACCGGCUAACUACGUG